rnacentral:misc_RNA from 1 species
AGAGAGAGAUAGAGAGAGAGAAAGGAAAAUGGUGAGAACUCCUUCCUGUGAUAAAUCUGGAUUAAAGAAAGGUACUUGGACUCCUGAAGAAGACAGAAAGCUAAUGGCUUAUGUUACUAGGUAUGGCUGUUGGAAUUGGCGCCAACUGCCCAAAUAUGCAGGAUUGUCAAGGUGUGGGAAGAGUUGCAGGUUGCGGUGGAUGAAUUAUCUGAGGCCAAAUAUUAAGAGAGGGAAUUAUACUAAAGAAGAAGAGGACACCAUUAUUCGCUUGCAUGAAUCAUUAGGGAACAGAUGGUCUGCUAUUGCUGCCCAGUUACCAGGGAGAACUGACAACGAAAUAAAGAACCACUGGCACACCAACCUCAAGAAACGAAAGCAAAAGGACUCUGCAAAACCAGACUCAUGUGGUCUUUCUCGAAAUAAAAAGAGUCAAAAGGAAGACGCUAAAGCAAAUAGAAUUGAGACAGUAAAUCCUGCAACUACUCGAAUUAUGGAAAGCUUCCCAUUGUCCCCCAAACAAUCUACAAGUGAUUUCUCAUCCUUGACCGCAGAUAACACAGCUGUAACCAGCAGCAGCUGCAGUGACUUAAAAUCUGAAGAUGAAUUUGCUUUCUUGGAGGCAUACGAGGCACCUAGUGGAAAUUUUUGGACAGAACCAUUCUUGGCUGACAAUUACUACAUGCCUAGUGAGUUCUUGACGCCACUGGUAGACCCUCUUUCUCCGCUUAGUGAUGGAGAACUAUUAUGCUCUUAUGGUGUGUAUGAACAAUAUGGAGUAUUGAAUUGGCAAUUAUAACUCGUUACAGAAUGUAAAAAUUGUUUUGAUUCCCAUAAAUUUUUUGCAUUGCUUCUUAUUAGUGUAUCCUUUUUGUUGUCCU